GACGUAGGGCGCGAGCGUUGUCCGGAUUUAUUGGGCGUAAAGAGCUCGUAGGCGGCUUGUCGCGUCGAAUGUGAAAACCCGAGGCUCAACUUCGGGCUUGCAUUCGAUACGGGCAGGCUAGAGUUCGGUAGGGGAGACUGGAAUUCCUGGUGUAGCGGUGAAAUGCGCAGAUAUCAGGAGGAACACCGGUGGCGAAGGCGGGUCUCUGGGCCGAUACCGACGCUGAGGAGCGAAAGCGUGGGGAGCGAACAGG
rnacentral:misc_RNA from 1 species